rnacentral:rRNA from 1 species
UACGGAGGGGACUAGCGUUGUCCGGAAUUACUGGGCGUAAAGAGCUCGUAGGUGGUUUGUCGCGUUGUUCGUGAAAACUCACAGCUCAACUGUGGGCGUGCGGGCGAUACGGGCAGACUAGAGUACUGCAGGGGAGACUGGAAUUCCUGGUGUAGCGGUGGAAUGCGCAGAUAUCAGGAGGAACACCGGUGGCGAAGGCGGGUCUCUGGGCAGUAACUGACGCUGAGGAGCGAAAGCGUGGGGAGCGAACAGG